rnacentral:rRNA from 1 species
GACGAACGCUGGCGGCGUGCCUAAUACAUGCAAGUCGAGCGGAAUGAUGAAGAAGCUUGCUUCUUCUGAUUUUAGCGGCGGACGGGUGAGUAACACGUGGGCAACCUACCUUGUAGAUUGGGAUAACUCCGGGAAACCGGGGCUAAUACCGAAUAAUCCAUUUUGCUUCAUGGCGAGAUGUUGAAAGACGGUUUCGGCUGUCACUACAAGAUGGGCCCGCGGCGCAUUAGCUAGUUGGUAGGGUAAUGGCCUACCAAGGCGACGAUGCGUAGCCGACCUGAGAGGGUGAUCGGCCACACUGGGACUGAGACACGGCCCAGACUCCUACGGGAGGCAGCAGUAGGGAAUCUUCCGCAAUGGACGAAAGUCUGACGGAGCAACGCCGCGUGAGUGAUGUAAGGUUUUCGGAUACGUAAAACUCUGUUGUUAGGGAAGAACAAGUACGAGAGUAACUGCUCGUACCUUGACGGUACCUAACCAGAAAGCCACGGCUAACUACGUG